GACGAACGCUGGCGGCGUGCCUAAUACAUGCAAGUCGAACGCUUCUUUCCUCCCGAGUGCUUGCACUCAAUUGGAAAGAGGAGUGGCGGACGGGUGAGUAACACGUGGGUAACCUACCCAUCAGAGGGGGAUAACACUUGGAAACAGGUGCUAAUACCGCAUAACAGUUUAUGCCGCAUGGCAUAAGAGUGAAAGGCGCUUUCGGGUGUCGCUGAUGGAUGGACCCGCGGUGCAUUAGCUAGUUGGUGAGGUAACGGCUCACCAAGGCCACGAUGCAUAGCCGACCUGAGAGGGUGAUCGGCCACACUGGGACUGAGACACGGCCCAGACUCCUACGGGAGGCAGCAGUAGGGAAUCUUCGGCAAUGGACGAAAGUCUGACCGAGCAACGCCGCGUGAGUGAAGAAGGUUUUCGGAUCGUAAAACUCUGUUGUUAGAGAAGAACAAGGACGUUAGUAACUGAACGUCCCCUGACGGAUCUAACCAGAAAGCCAC
rnacentral:rRNA from 1 species